rnacentral:lncRNA from 1 species
AUAUGAAGUACUUAGCACAGUGCUUGGCAGACAGUAAACAGUCAAUAAACUAUGGCCAUUAUUAUUAACCAGAAUCCAAAAACUGACUUUUCAGAUGGACAUAUUUUCUGAUUCAAAGAUGAGAGAGACCAUCCCAAAGAUUUCCUGUCCCUGAAAAAAAAGAAUCGCAGAGGGAUAACAUUAGAGGUGCUUCCCUGAACAAGGACCCCUGAAGAAGGAACACAGAGGGGUGAAAUCUUUCCAUGAACCCUGCCUUGGCAUUGGCAUUUAAGUUGGAAAAAUGCCAUGGACAAGAGGAGCCUGGUGGGCUACAGUCCAUAGGGUCCCAAAGAGUUGGAACUACUGAAGCAACUUAGCACAGCACAAGUAUGGUUUUUUUUUUUUUAAUUUUUUUUAAUUUUAAAGUCUUUAAUUCUUACAUGCUUUCCCAAACAUGAACCCC